rnacentral:tRNA from 5 species
GGCCCGGUAGCAAAGCGGCUAUGCAGAGGACUGCAAAUCCUUCCAGGCCGGUUCGACUCCGGCCCGGGCCUCCA